rnacentral:rRNA from 1 species
CCUACGGGAGGCAGCAGUGGGGGAUAUUGCACAAUGGGGGAAACCCUGAUGCAGCGACGCCGCGUGGGUGAAGAAGCGCCUCGGCGCGUAAAGCCCUGUCAGCAGGGAAGAAAAUGACGGUACCUGAAGAAGAAGCCCCGGCUAACUACGUGCCAGCAGCCGCGGUAAUACGUAGGGGGCAAGCGUUAGCCGGGUUUACUGGGUGUAAAGGGGGCGCAGACGGGGAUGCAAGCCAGGAGUGAAAGCCCGGGGCCCAACCCCGGGACUGCUCUUGGAACUGCGUGGCUAGAGUGCAGGAGGGGCAGGCGGAAUUCAUGGUGUAGCGGUGAAAUGCGUAGAUAUCAGGAGGAACACCGGUGGCGAAGGCGGCCUGCUGGACUGCAACUGACGUUGAGGCCCGAAAGCGUGGGGAGCAAACAGGAUUAGAUACCCGAGUAGUC